rnacentral:rRNA from 1 species
AUGGAAGCCACCGCAGGCCUCCACCUCGACCAGCGCCACCAUGGACCAGCGCCGCCGUCGAGCGCCAUGGCUUCCACUUCAAGCUUCUGUGCCGCCCGGAGCUCCUCGAGACCAGCCGGAUCCGUGUGCUACCUCGACUCCAGCCUGUCAGAGUCGCUUCACCGCGGCCUCCCCUGCCUCCAUGGACGCGUCCAGCACCGGAACAACAUCACUGCCUUGUUCCUUCUCCCCUGCAGCCAUGGGCGCCUCAAGCUAGGGCUUGCCUUGCCGCCCUUGCAACCUCGUCCUCGCCUUCGCGCCUCAACCGGCCUCGUCGUCGCCGGGAACCCCAUGCUGCCGCCGCCGCGCUAA